rnacentral:misc_RNA from 1 species
AUUGUAUGUCACCGCACUCGGAACUAGCCCCUUUUCCGACAUAACAUUUAGUAACUCUCUUGCUUCGUCAAGCUUAGAGUCUUUACACAAACCAUCGAUGAGAACAGUGUAAGUAUGAACAUUGGGCUCACAACCUUUCUCCCUCAUCUCAUCAAACAAACUCAAUGCCUCUACCCUCCUAUCCAACCGACACAACGCAUCAAUG